GCCUCUCUUGCACCCAGAGACUGAAGGAGCUCAGGAGAAAGUAGAGGAAAGAGACGCAAACCCAGCUCCCUCCGAGCCUGGCCCACCUCCUCCUGCUGCCUUGCCUCCCUCCCCACAGCUGCUUCUGCAGACAGGAGCGAAGAGGAAAUGAAGUGGAAUGCACAUCUGAGAGGCCUCUUCAUGCAACGGCCUUCCUGGCACCUCCACUGAGGUCCAAUGUCUGACCAGCCGCCCCCCAUCCCUGGCCAGUCCUGGUGGGCACUUGGUAUCUUCACACUGGCCUCCUCUGCACCAACACUGGACGGUAUCACUCGGGGCCUCAGGAUCCAGCUGACCCCCAGCUAUAAAAAGGACACAUGAUCCAGGCAACCCCCACUGCCACUCCUGAAAACGAGCUCAUCUCCUCACUAAGGCAUUUUCCAGCCACCUAGCCUCUUCCAGUCAAGACAUUUACCCACAAAAAUUUACACGUUAAGAUCAGGAGAGUUCCAGCGUUCUCUAUGCCAAUCCUCUUCCCUAUCCAGUUAGGAGGGCCAAGAGCUACCCACAUUAACAUUAUGCUGUUGAGAUUUCCAUCGGGACAAGAUGCCCUGGACUGAGACUCCAAGCCUGCUGUGUAGGCUGUUCAGAGCCACCUCUGCUUUUUCCAUUAAUUGUCAUGUGAGUCUCAAGCAGACUCCAUCACCCAGCCUGGCUAACCUGCGACAGGAAGCUUGACCCAAGAGAGGAGGCAAGUUCCAAGUAUGACACAGCUCGCUCUGCCCUGUCCCAGAGCUGGGACUAUUCCUUCGGCGUCCAUUAGCUGGUGCUUACGGACAGCUGGCACUUUGCAGUUUUCUGAUAAGCAGGUCAUUUCCCAAUUUCCAAAAGGUCUCAGAAUACGGCACCGAGUAGGCUCAGAUCUAACCCAUCUGACUCUCCACGGUUCUGUGAGUACUGCAAAAACUCACACAUGGUCUACAACACUACGCCUGUCAAACA